GUCGAACGCGAAAGCGGGGCAACCCGCAAGUAGAGUGGCGAACGGGUGAGUAAUACAGCGGAACGUGUCCAGUAGCGGGGGAUAACCUCUCGAAAGAGAGGCUAAUACCGCAUACGACCUACGGGUGAAAGGGGGGGAUCCAAAGGAAACUGAGGACCUCUCACUAUUGGAGCGGCCGUUGUCGGAUUAGCUAGUUGGCGGGGUAAAAGCCCACCAAGGCAACGAUCCGUAGCUGGUCUGAGAGGACGGCCAGCCACACUGGAACUGAGACACGGUCCAGACUCCUACGGGAGGCAGCAGUGGGGAAUUUUGGACAAUGGGCGCAAGCCUGAUCCAGCCAUGCCGCGUGAGUGAAGAAGGCCUUCGGGUUGUAAAGCUCUUUCGGCUGGGACGAAAAGGUUCGUGUUAACACCAUGAAUCCAUGACGGUACCAGCAGAAGAAGCACCGGCUAACUACGUGCCAGCAGCCGCGGUAAUACGUAGGGUGCAGGCGUUAAUCGGAAUUACUGGGCGUAAAGCGUGCGCAGGCGGUUUGCUAAGACAGGUGUGAAAUCCCCGGGCUUAACCUGGGAACUGCGCUUGUUACUGGCAAGCUGGAGUGUGGCAGAGGGGGGUGGAAUUCCACGUGUAGCAGUGAAAUGCGUAGAUAUGUGGAGGAACACCGAUGGCGAAGGCAGCCCCCUGGGCUAACACUGACGCUCAUGCACGAAAGCGUGGGGAGCAAACAGGAUUAGAUACCCUGGUAGUCCACGCCCUAAACUAUGUCAACUGGUUGUCGGGGAAGCAAUUCCUUGGUAACGAAGCUAACGCGUGAAGUUGACCGCCUGGGGAGUACGGCCGCAAGGUUAAAACUCAAAGGAAUUGACGGGACCCGCACAGCGGUGGAUUAUGUGGAUUAAUUCGAUGCACGCGAAAACCUUACCUACCCUUGACAUGCUAGGAAGCUCGCA
rnacentral:rRNA from 1 species